UUUGUUAAACCAUAUCACAUGAGUUCCAACACUCAUUUGGUUUACGAGACUUCAUUCUAUCCGAUCGUCCGAUUUAGGCGUCUAGUUUUGUUGGAGUUCUAUUUGAUCGAGGAUACUUUGCACUUCAUGUGUUGAUGCUUGAUUGAUUUCUAGGAUGCAUGCGUCACAUAGGAUCUGGACGAGGCCUUAGUGACAUAAUAACGAUGAUAGACGAUAUAAAACUUGUUUGUUCUAUGUGUUA
rnacentral:lncRNA from 1 species